GCCUACUGCCUCGCCCUGCAGAGGAAGGUGGAGGCCUGGUGGGCGCGGCCCCCUGGAGGAGGCAGCCCCGGCCAAGGCACCCCCCAGGAUGGAGAGGUGGGACGGCGGCUGGACCAGGAGGGGUGCCCCUGAGCCAGCCGCUGCACCCGGGAUGCUGAAGUUGGAGGAACCAGGCAGCUGGGCCUUUCCUCUCUGGCUCUCCCGGCGACACCUGGGGCGCCAAACCCCCCAACCGGAGAAGCGGCACCCGCUGUCGGGGCUAGGCGCUUCCAGUAUUUGGCGCUGCGACCGAUCCCA